UACGUAGGUGGCAAGCGUUGUCCGGAUUUACUGGGCGUAAAGAGCGCGCAGGCGGUCGUUCAAGUCGCGUGUGAAAGCCCCCGGCUCAACUGGGGAGGGUCACGCGAUACUGAUCGACUCGAAGGCAGGAGAGGGUAGUGGAAUUCCCGGUGUAGUGGUGAAAUGCGUAGAUAUCGGGAGGAACACCAGUGGCGAAGGCGACUACCUGGGCUGUUCUUGACGCUGAGGCGCGAAAGCUAGGGGAGCAAACGGG
rnacentral:rRNA from 1 species